GAGCAGCUGGUGACUGCCCAAGAACACCCAGUGUGCAGUGGCUUUCUUCCAAAGAACAUCUUAUGGGGAAAGGAGGGAAAUGAUUCACCUUGCCACAGAGAAACAGCAGGACCACCUCAGCUGAGCAACUGGAGCACAUCAGGAGUGAAAACAUUGACAAUACGUACCUGUGAUGUCAAAGAACCAAAAGGUUUUUUUUUUUUUAAAAAAAAAAUAUUUAAGUAGAGAAUGCGAUCUCAAGAUUAAAUGAGCCAGCCUCAUGCUGGUCAGGAAUAGCCAAGGACAGCCAAAGUUGAACACUUUCUGGUACAGUUUCUGAGUUUCCAUAGAGAAGUUCAUGGAUAUAAAAAGAGUCAAAGGGUUUCCUGCAGAGAGAAAACAAAAGUAGCUUCACCGAAGGAGAGAUGGAACUGAAGACAGAGACGUUAAACCUUCGACUGAGGGGCUAGAGCGGCUCAGUGGGACGACCCACCCUCAAAAUGCAGCUGCAACAGCAACGUGACCAGCUGUCUGUGUCUUCCCAUCCCAUCGGAUGAUUGUACCACACCGUGCUUCCAGGAGGGACUGUCACAGGUG